UACGGAGGGUGCAAGCGUUAAUCGGAAUCACUGGGCGUAAAGGGUGCGUAGGCGGGUCUUUAAGUCAGGGGUGAAAUCCUGGAGCUCAACUCCAGAACUGCCUUUGAUACUGAAGAUCUUGAGUUCGGGAGAGGUGAGUGGAACUGCGAGUGUAGAGGUGAAAUUCGUAGAUAUUCGCAAGAACACCAGUGGCGAAGGCGGCUCACUGGCCCGAUACUGACGCUGAGGCACGAAAGCGUGGGGAGCAAACAGG
rnacentral:rRNA from 1 species